rnacentral:rRNA from 1 species
GUAGGGAAUAUUGGACAAUGGGCGAAAGCCUGAUCCAGCCAUGCCGCGUGAUAGAUGAAGGCCCUCUGGGUUGUAAAUAUCUUUUAUCUGGGAAGAAACUCCUCUAUUCUUAGAGGCCUGACGGUACCAGAGGAAUAAGCACCGGCUAACUCCGUGCCAGCAGCCGCGGUAAUACGGAGGGUGCAAGCGUUAUCCGGAUUCACUGGGUUUAAAGGGUGCGUAGGCGGGUUGAUAAGUCAGUGGUGAAAGCUCCGGGCUUAACUUGGAAACUGCCAUUGAUACUGUCAAUCUUGAAUGUCGUAGAGGUAAGCGGAAUGUUGCAUGUAGCGGUGAAAUGCUUAGAUAUGUUACAGAACACCAAUUGCGAAGGCAGCUGACUAAUACACAACUGACGCUGAGGGACGAAAGUGUGGGGAUCAAACAGGAUUAGAAACCCGGGUAGUCC